rnacentral:lncRNA from 1 species
CUCUUGCCAUCCAGAAAAGUCAGAGCAACUGGUCUUGCUGGUUUUAAGUGUUGCCUGUGUUUCUGGCAUUGGUAAGUUUCUUUGUUUUCCUGUAGUUUUAGGUAUACAUAUAUAAUGACAUCUCCAAAAUUCAUCAAUAUUAGCAUUUGUUAUGAAGAUUUUUCAGGCAACUGGCUUACCAUAUGGCCUAAAUCUGAUUCUAAAGUCCAC